AGACGAGCAGUGGCCCUGACCCGUCGCAGGAGUGGUUUCUGGCUGAUAACAGUGAUUUUAGCAAUCUGUGCAUGAUUGUAGCAGUACCCACGGCAGAUGACUGCACAUUGGCCACUACAUCGGCUGGUAGCAAUUCUAACCGUGUUACUGCAAAUGAAGCUAGUCUCCCAGAGUGCGAUCACACAUACUGUAGACCUACAGUGUUUUCAGAAUCGACACAGGUUUCCAUCAUAGCGGACGAGAAAGUGGAAGUCAGAAGUGAAAGCACGCAAACGGAUCAUUCACCGUCAACACCUGUCAACAUGUCUCCAGUGAUGGUUUCAACACCUAUUGUCCGUAC